AUGGUCAUGGGGUGGACGACGCACAGGCAGAGAGGCAGAUGUCGCUAUAUCAGACCCCGUGCUCCCUCCCACCGCUGUACACACCGGCCGGGGAUAUAUGGGGAGUUGUCCGAAAUACUCCACGGCCGAUCGAUCGCGCACGAAACGUACCUGCGCUCGCGGAAGGAUCGCGCCUUCUUUUUAUUUGCUGCUGUUGCGGGUGGCCCGGGACCGACGGCGACGUGCGGCGGCAAAUGGCGACCCGCGGGCGUCACGUACGUACGCAGCCUGUUCGGCUGCUCCACCACCACCAGCUCGACCAGUGACGUGACGGCGCCGGCGGCGAGAGCGGGUUUCAUAAGUCCACAGGUUAUGACUAAUUCUGCACGCCGUCGCCGGAAAUCUCCAACCUUUGAGACAACUAACUCUGAUGAAAGCUGUAGCGUCGACAUGAGUGAUACUGAUGUUUCCUCUCAAUCAAAAUCAACCAGGAAUAGCCGUAGAAGAUCUCCGAAGAAACUUAAGAGAGCAGCUUCCCCCGAAGUUAAGCAGUUACCUGCUCUUGACAAAGCAGUUCCAAUGCCCCGUCCAGGUAGGGUUCGUGACAAACCUUUCAGAGCUCCGACGACUGGUUACCAAAUUAAUAGAAGUUACCUGCUAGGAGCUUUGAAGGACUUGAGCGACAUCCCUCGUAUGAAUUGGUGUCGUUUUGCUGCUGAGUACCUUAUCGAGGCAAUCCGUGAAUCAAGGAAAAACAAAGUGCCCAACCUGAAUGUCGGUGGAUGCGUACAUAUUCUACAUUCAAAAUACCUCAGGGUUACCCAAGGAUUAAAUGUGGGUUCAGCAGUACUGGAACAAAUAGAUCAUACUGGAAAAAAGAAGACACAUGACCAUUGCAAGUUGUUUGAGAGCUUACUGGACGAUGAAAAGUUAGCAAUGUUCCCUACUGCAGAAGACCAUAAUGAUGAUCUUGAUGAUCACGAAAAAUCUACACAUUCCACCCCACCAGUAACAACUAAUAUAAGUACUGUACCUGGCCAGGAGAAAUAUAAACUUCCUCCACAAGUAGUACAAGUUUCUAAAAAGCGCCUGUCACAUCAACCUACAGAUGAGUCUCUGUCCAACUUGCAUAAUUUGAUCAAACGGAUAAAGAUUCUUGAAGACCAGUACACAGCCGAUCGACAAAGGUUGAUAACUGUGUCUGAACGAAAGCUUCAAAACAAACUGCAACAGCUUCAAAUUAAGAAAACCAAGGAAAUGGCAGCCUUGGUCCAGGAAGAGAUUCAGAAGGCUAUGUUACCGAUGAUUGAUGAUGCAUGUCCAGGAAGUUCUCUACACAAUGAUGAUGCAACUUUGACGAAACGAACUAUAGGAACACAAAGUCCAUGUCACUCCAAUCUAGAUGAAGCUGUUCUCAAUUCUUCCCAGUCUGCUCAACUGGUUCACGAAACUAGCACUCAUGUUGAUGUCACCCAGCAGUUGACAGCCGGAACACCGGCAUCUCCAACCUUCAUGAAUGAAACUUUAGAAAUUGGUACUCAUGAAUCAGAACCAGGAACCAAUUUUGUGAACAUUGAAGGUGUCGAAGCUGACAACUUCCAUCCUGCUUCGCCAAUGCUUGCUCAGAUUACUCAGUACGAGCCUUCUUCUUCUAAAGAAUUGACUACCACGGAUCAGAUUGUUGAGGCUGAACCUGCUGCUUGUAAAGAUCCAUUGGUGGAAAGCAUUUGCACUUUUCAAAAUCUCAAGUCUGAUGCUACAGCAUGUUCUGCAACAACCGCCUUAGAAAGACAAGAGACUUUUGUUGCCAAUGUGGUACCGUCAUCAAAUAAUUCUGCUUCUACACAUCCCCCAGAAUUAGUCUCUGAAGUCAUCGUUCCCACAACUGCAAUUGUUAUUCCCAACAUUGCUGCAGACCAAGUCCAGUCACAUUCUGUUCAAACUGAGAGAAGCAACAUGCCAAGUGAAGAUUCAUCAAUAAUGAAGUUUGUUGGUACUGAUGGUCAAGCGGAUAGUGCUUUUCUUCUACCUGUUACUAGUGCUCAUAAUGUGCUUGGACAUGGCAACCAAGGGGAUCAGCCAGAGAGUAAUGCAUUUGCUGUUCAACAUCCACAACAGGAUUCAUCCAAAGAUGUUUUGCAUGAAGUAGGUAAUACCGUUACUAUGGCACCAACUGCUGAUGGAAUUCAAGAGAUUGCCUUCAUUGAUCCAAAAACAACAAAAUCUUCAUCUCAAAUAGAUGUUUCUGAUGCACAGAAAGCUACCAAGAAUCAUAGUUUCCCACACAAUCCUGCAUCAGAUGUUGUUCAACUACAACAUACAGACAAGACGACACUUGAAGAUGGCAUUCAGAAACAAUCGAAUGAUCAUUUGGAAAAUCUUGAUGUCAGCAAAAUUGAUAUUCUAUCGACGAAAGAUAUUGAAAUUGCUGAUACUGAUUCCACUUCAAAAGAUGUUCCAAAUAUUUCUUCCCCACCUUUAUCCAUACAAAUAGUAGGUGAUGUAUCAAUUAUGUCAGUCAGUCAGAUGACCAGGGAAUAUGAUAGGAUGAAUGUACCAGCGGGUGCUACUAUUCAUACUACCCAACAUAAUGUUGCAUCUACGCUCCAGGAAGUCUCAAGAAUUGAAGAUAAUCAGCCUAUUGUUUUGGAAACUUCUGUUCUGCCCGACCAUAGCUCCUCCAGUUUGGAUGUUUUGCAGAUAGACCCUUCUAAGUUACCUGAUGAUAUGCCAAAACCAAGCACUGUACCCUCAGAUAUCACAUUGCAAAUUGGUCAAACCUCACCAAAGGAAUCCUCAACACUGCAAGAUUCUGAUAAAAAAAUACUAGACAAAUGUGUGGAAAUGAUUCUAUGUAUGACACCGAAUCUAGCACCUGCAAAUGAUAACAACGAAUCACUAAGUCUUGCUAUCAAUGAAGUGCUCAGUGAAAACUUAGAACAAACUCUUGCAUUAGCAGAAAUACAGACUCAGUGCACUGCAGGAGACAUAGAAUCAUCAUCUUGUCAGUCUACACAAGAAGAUGUUGCAAACGUUGCCCAAAUGGAUAUAACUGCAAAAAAACAAGAUGAAUCCCAAGAACAUCCUUCCGACAAUUCAUCUGCCCGAGUAAGUUCUGAGCGCACCAAAGAUGAUGAUAUAUCUAAAGUGGGCAAGCAAGAUUCAGACUCUCAUACUUCUUAUUUAACUCCUAGACACAGCUUCAGAGAUAUAGAGAUAGUUCACAUAGCCGAUGAACCUUCAUCUCCUAAAACAAUUGAUUGUGACCACAUCUCUAAGCUUGCUGAGCCAUUACCAGAUGGAGAAUGUUUUGAUUGUGCUGGUAGCAUAAAUCCUUCUAUGAAGAUGAGAAAACAGCGUUAUCAGAAGAAAGAGGAGAUCGUCGAAGGUAUAUCUGAGCUCAUAAAGAAGAAGCAAUAUCUGGUGAAGAAGUUGAACGACAUGUACAAUACUCUUGUCGCCUGUAGCAAGUUCCGAGGUUUACGAAAGAUGUGCAAAAAUAUGAUGUGGUUACUGUCCGUGGCACUUAUGUAUGAUUGGGGAUCAAAGACCAAGAUUAUAUUGGACCAGACUAUUAUACUAUUUCUGCCUACACUAUCGGACAACCAUUGGAUUCUGGCUGUCAUUAACCUCACGCAAAACACAAUUGAAAUUUAUGACUCUAACUUAGAAGUCAAAGAAGGUGAACACCCGCACAGGGUUAUGUUGGAGAACAUGGCCAGCAAUCUCCAAAAAUCAUUGAAUGAUUGUCUCCACAAGAGUGCUUUCGCAUUUACUGAUUUCCCAAUGAAGUAUUGUUCUACUGGAAAACAAACAAACAAGUAUUGGGCAAUGGAUGUCUUCAGGAAGGAAAUAUGCUAUAUCCUUGUUUACCACCGCUUCAAUGAUCUCAAUCCAAGGAGGCCUGAGAUUAAGAAGAUAGCAUCCGCCGUGAAGACAACAACAGACUGA
rnacentral:rRNA from 1 species